UUAGGUCAUUAGGAUUCUGUUCGCCAACCGGCAAUUUGUUAGGGAUCCGAUUGCAGAUUCCCUAUAUGAGUCUCUCACUCACACUCACACAGCGCCGUCUCCGCUCUCCAAACCCUAUUUCCCCAUUCCGAUCUCCCUAUUAAUCUCAUCUCCGUUCUGACAUCGCCUUGAGUAGAGCAGAUCGACUUAAAUCCGAGUGACUAUCCAAGAGAAACCGUCGGUCUUCUCUUUCGCCCUGCAAAUUGCUCCCCAUCCCUUGUCCUCCGGCCUUCUCCGGACACUACCACGGGCGACGCUGUAGGAAUCGGCCUUCCCUGGCGUACUCCUCACCGCAGAUCUGCACCAGCUCUCGGAUUCUGAAUCAACGUCUUCGGCCAACUUCUGGGCCAUCUCCGUCGUCCACACCGGAGUCAGGUAGCAAACUUUAAUGUGGAAUGAGAUGUUCCAGCUUGGCCAGAGAAAUGAAGAUAAGUUGAGUAUUAUUUGGCUGACCCAGGGAACUUCAGGAAGAAGAAAAAAAACAUUAUAUUCAUUUUGUCUUUGGCAUGGGAGGUUUACAAAUGAAUUAGUUUGGGAGGAAUCAUCCUUUGGUUUAAAUGUGUAUUCUCUCUUAUCCGGUGUGAAUGGAGAGAUGUUGACAAAUGAGGAGGUAAUUGACACGUAUUGUAAAAUUUUAUUUAGAGAGGCAUCCUUGUCUGGUAGGAUAUACAACAAAUCUAUUUAUUGUUCAACCUUCUUCACAAUAAAGAAUUUAUUUGAGAAUAGUUAAAAUUUGAAUACAUUUUAUUAUUUGGUUAAGUAUGUAUGACUUUGGAUAUUUGUAGUCAUUAAUAAAAUUCUCAAGCAAGGUUGUCUUCCAACAAUUGAUAAAGACAAAUACAAAAGAUGAAGAGGUUAGGUAUGUUUUUAUACCUUUGUGCGGUGAUAAUGCACACUUUCACUUGUUGAUGAUGGACACCAAAUCACUGACGUUCAAUUAUUACAAUUCUCUAGCAAGUGGAAGAAAAUACAAAUAUGAAUUUGAUGUAACGGUGGACAUUCAAUAUUUAUGUAUAUGUUUGUAUUGUAGUAUAAAUGCUAGUUGAUGUAAAAUUUUAAUUUUCUCUUCAAUCUUAUAGGUAUCAGAUUUAAAACUCUAUAGUCGUGAGCACCUCGUUGCUAUUGAUCCAAAAUUUGAAAGACAUCAUCUCUACGAUCAAUGGAUGUCUCACACAAUAGAAUAUCCACAACAAGAAGCCAGGGACUACGAACAAAGAACAAUGGUGCGUUUUUAUAGAUCAAUCAAGAAUCUUAAAGAUAGUAUUACAGAUGUGGGCAACAUGAAUGGCAAAAGUGGGUGACGACUGAUACUAGUUCAUCUGGCAAUAUAUUACAGUGAACACAAUGUUUCUCAUGGACAUAAUCCGAGAAUAAUUGAUGUAUCGAAAUUCAUUUGGAUAUCAGUGAUGGUGAACUUGAUUCUUUUAGUCGUAAUUUUAAAAUGGUGCGUGUUUCUAGAUCAACCAAGAAUCCUAGAAGAUAGUAUUAUAGAUGUGGGCACAUGGAUGACAAAAGUGAUUGACGACCGAUACUAGCUCAUUUGGCAAUAUUACAGUGAACACAAUGCUUCUCAUGGACAUAAUUCGAGAAUAAUCGAUGUACCGAAAUUUAUUUGGAUAUCAGUGAUGGUGAAUUUGAUUCUCUUGGCCGUAAUUUUGAUUGUGUUAUUGGUUCAUCUUGUUAGUGUUUGUAAUGUUGGUGUUAUAAUAUAACUGGGUAAAUGUUUGUAAUUAUGGAUGUAAAUUUGGUUUGUUAGUUGGUGUUGACAUUGUUAAACAAUGUUGAAUAAUAUUGGUGUUGUAAUUGUGGUAUGAUAAUAGUGUUGCUUGUGUCAAAAGAUAAUUUAUCGUUGAAAUUGAAACAUCUUGUUUAUUGUUAUGUUAUUUAAUAAAAAUUUUAUUUGUAGUCUCAAUUAUUAUGGAGUUGGUUAUAUUUUGUUUUGAUAUUGAAAAACAACUUCAUGCAUGUUUAAGGAGAAAGGUAGACCUUUAAUCAACAGUGAGCUUAGGCACUUUGCUGAUAUCAUUAAUUGUGGAGGUGAAUGAAGAUUAUUGAUGCUUUGGUACAUGAACUAGGAGUUAGUUAACUUUAGCCUUAAGAAUGAAUUUUUCUGAUGAUGUAAAUGUACCUAACCUUGAUUGUGGAACAAGCAAAUAUUCAUGGCAUAAUUAAAGAAUAAUAGAAUUUAGUUGAAUAUGUAAGAAGAAAGACUUUGGUAUCCAAUUCAUAAACAAAACACAGUGAAAGAUUUACAAGAAUUGAAGUUUAUGGUUUCACUCAAUUACGUUAUCAACCCAAAGGAAGGUGGAGAGAAGGCGGGAACAAAUCCAUUUAGGUGGAUGAUCGAUGGUUUCUCAACCAUUGCAAAUCAAGGAAGUUGCUACUGGAAUCAGUUUUAGAAGAUGAUGAUUCAUGUCUUUACCUGUCAGAAGAUGAUGUACCACCAGAAGAACCUGUGAUCAAAGCAAUCUACAAGAUCUUCAUAUAUGAUCAACUAUAUGCGGAGCAAAUACGAAAGGAUGGUGAUAAUACAUUUAAGACAGAGUUGCUUGUUAUUUUGCAACCUCAUUCUUGGAGUACAAUAUAAUCAAACAAAAAACCAAUAAAUCAACCCGUCUUUAGCUA